rnacentral:rRNA from 1 species
CCUACGGGAGGCAGCAGUGAGGAAUAUUGGUCAAUGGACGAGAGUCUGAACCAGCCAAGUAGCGUGAAGGAUGACUGCCCUAUGGGUUGUAAACUUCUUUUAUAUGGGAAUAAAACGUUCCACGUGUGGGAUUUUGUAUGUACCAUAUGAAUAAGGAUCGGCUAACUCCGUGCCAGCAGCCGCGGUAAUACGGAGGAUCCGAGCGUUAUCCGGAUUUAUUGGGUUUAAAGGGAGCGUAGGUGGAUUGUUAAGUCAGUUGUGAAAGUUUGCGGCUCAACCGUAAAAUUGCAGCUGAAACUGGCAGUCUUGAGUACAGUAGAGGUGGGCGGAAUUCGUGGUGUAGCGGUGAAAUGCUUAGAUAUCACGAAGAACUCCGAUUGCGAAGGCAGUUCACUGGACUGCAACUGACACUGAGGCUCGAAAGUGUGGGUAUCAAACAGGAUUAGAUACCCCUGUAGUC